UACGAAGGGGGCUAGCGUUGUUCGGAAUUACUGGGCGUAAAGCGCACGUAGGCGGAUCGAUCAGUCAGGGGUGAAAUCCCAGGGCUCAACCCUGGAACUGCCUUUGAUACUGUCGAUCUGGAGUAUGGAAGAGGUGAGUGGAAUUCUCGGUGUAGCGGUGAAAUGCGUAGAUAUCGAGAGGAACACCUGCGGCGAAGGCGGGUUGCUGGGCUGACACUGACGCUGAGGCGCGAAAGCCAGGGGAGCGAACGGG
rnacentral:rRNA from 1 species